AUUGAACGCUGGCGGCAGGCCUAACACAUUCAAGUCGAGCGGAUGAAGGGAGCUUGCUCCUGGAUUCAGCGGCGGACGGGUGAGUAAUGCCUAGGAAUCUGCCUGGUAGUGGGGGAUAACGUCCGGAAACGGGCGCUAAUACCGCAUACGUCCUGAGGGAGAAAGUGGGGGAUCUUCGGACCUCACGCUAUCAGAUGAGCCUAGGUCGGAUUAGCUAGUUGGUGGGGUAAAGGCCUACCAAGGCGACGAUCCGUAACUGGUCUGAGAGGAUGAUCAGUCACACUGGAACUGAGACACGGUCCAGACUCCUACGGGAGGCAGCAGUGGGGAAUAUUGGACAAUGGGCGAAAGCCUGAUCCAGCCAUGCCGCGUGUGUGAAGAAGGUCUUCGGAUUGUAAAGCACUUUAAGUUGGGAGGAAGGGCAGUAAGUUAAUACCUUGCUGUUUUGACGUUACCAACAGAAUAAGCACCGGCUAACUUCGUG
rnacentral:rRNA from 1 species